AAUCUUGGACUAUGGGGGCCACAUUGCUCCAGCUAUGCCGCGUGUGUGAAGACGGUCUGCGGUUUGUAAAGCACUUUAGGUGGGGAGGAAGGGCGUUAGGUUAAUCCCCUGAAGCUUUGCCGUUGCCAACAGAAUCAGCACCGGCACACACUGUGACAGCAGCCGCGGGAAUACAGAGGGUGCAACCGUUAAUCGGAAUUACUGGGCGUACAGCGCGCGUAGGUGGUUCAGUAAGAUAGGUGGGAAAUCCCCAGGCUUAACCUGGGAACUGCUUUCAUAACUGCUGAGCUAGAGUACUGUAGAGGGUAGUGGGAGUUCCUGUGGAGCGGCGAAAAGCGUAGAUAUAGGAAGGAACAACAGUGGCGAAGGCGACUACCUGGACUGAUACUGACACUGAGGGGCGAAAGCGUGGGGAGCAAACA
rnacentral:rRNA from 1 species